UGUUCAGGGUAUGAGGCAUUCAGGUGAAACUGCUGAGCUUUGGUAAACAUCAUCCGACCUCUGAAGUUGCAACGUUCUCAAACAUCAGCCUCGAGAUUUAUUAUCUUCCUCAUAAAUCAGUAAGAUACGCUGGUGCUAGAGUUCCACCAUCUUUCAAAGAUGACAUGCUUUUUACACCGCAGUAUUAUUGAGUUCUGGAUUCUGAUUGGUCAGAAGUUGUUGAUUUUUUUUAUUCUCUAUAACAGCAGAUCUGACAGUAGCGCAGGUGUAUAUUACUGCGCUCGUUCUGAUACGUUAUCGUUUCCAUGGUUUCCACGCUCUACCAUGAGAAGUGUGCUUAUUUAACAUUUAUGGAAGGAGUCUCCAGUGUCAAAACUUUGUAGCAGUCAGAGAUAAAGCUGGAACUUUAGCUUUUUCUAACACCAAAAACAUCUCUACACAUUUAUCCUCAUUAAAAAUACCCAAAUCUAUGGAAUUAGAAACCUCCCCAGGUGCUCUUGUUGUAUGAGUAAACUAGCUCACGUUACUGGAAUUUCAGUAUCGGCGUCUACAGUUUCUCGCCAAUUAUCACACCUGCCACAACAAUAAGGUUACCGUGACAACCCGGAUUCUGUGUUUCCGCCAACAUUCGCUAAGUUAGCUGGCUAAAGGUUUAUGCAGUGAAAAGUUUCCAGGUAUCAUUGGUGUCACUCCACAUCAGCAUCAGACUCAGGUAAGGGGCGUGGUCUAAAGUCUGAAGAUUGAAUUAUACAUACUGUUUCUUUAACAGCUCUAUUAUCAGAUACAUUUUCAGCCAAGUGAAUAAGUGUAAAUACAGGUCUCGGGCAGCGCUCUGACAGAACAAUGACAGUGGGAUAUCUGAGCCAAACAAGCACGGCGAGGACGGGUGGCCCUCCCGGCUCGGCAUUACCUCACACCUUUGUUGGUUUAAGGGUGUGGUGCAAACUUUCAGCAAAAGAGAACCAACAAGAUCAGUAGAUAUGGGGCAAAAUCCAGGCACAAGGUGUGGCGGAGGGUCACGGGGAACCUGGAGCCUAUCCCAGGUAGACAUGCCAAUCAACCUACCUUUGGACUUGGGGAGGAAACCGGAGUACCCAGAGGAAACCCCCACAGCACAGGGAGAACAUGCAAACUCCACACACACAGGGCCACGGUGGGAAUCGAACUCCUGACCCUGGAGGUGUGAGGCAAAUGUGCUAGUCGGCUAGCCUGACAGGAUUUCUGAGAGGAUUUUUAAGAUUUCUUUUCUCCUUCCACGUGAUUCAUCUUUUCGUCAUGUAGUGUUGGGCUGAACGGUUUUAGCUGUGUGUCCAUGCAUCACCAUAUUGUGGAAAAAAGACGGCACCACCAUUUUGAGACCCACCCUGAGAAGUCUGUGGCCAGGAUACCGUAGUUGAAGAUGAAGACCCUGCUGACCUGGCACAUCGUGAGGUAGCCCAUCGCCACGAUCAUCGUGUACCUGGACCAAAACAUGUCAAACGUUAGCAGAGCAUUAAGAAUAAAUAAAGCUAACCAUACUGACA